CCUACGGGACGCAGCAGUAGGGAAUCUUCCACAAUGGACGAAAGUCUGAUGGAGCAACGCCGCGUGAGUGAAGAAGGGUUUCGGCUCGUAAAGCUCUGUUGGUAGUGAAGAAAGAUAGAGGUAGUAACUGGCCUUUAUUUGACGGUAAUUACUUAGAAAGUCACGGCUAACUACGUGCCAGCAGCCGCGGUAAUACGUAGGGAGCAAGCGUUGUCCGGAAUUACUGGGCGUAAAGGGCGCGUAGGUGGGCGCUUAAGUCAGG
rnacentral:rRNA from 1 species